rnacentral:rRNA from 1 species
UAGGGAAUGUUCCGCAAUGGGCGAAAGCCUGACGGAGCAACGCCGCGUGAGUGAUGAAGGUCUUCGGAUCGUAAAACUCUGUUAUUAGGGAAGAACAAAUGUGUAAGUAACUAUGCACGUCUUGACGGUACCUAAUCAGAAAGCCACGGCUAACUACGUGCCAGCAGCCGCGGUAAUACGUAGGUGGCAAGCGUUAUCCGGAAUUAUUGGGCGUAAAGCGCGCGUAGGCGGUUUUUUAAGUCUGAUGUGAAAGCCCACGGCUCAACCGUGGAGGGUCAUUGGAAACUGGAAAACUUGAGUGCAGAAGAGGAAAGUGGAAUUCCAUGUGUAGCGGUGAAAUGCGCAGAGAUAUGGAGGAACACCAGUGGCGAAGGCGACUUUCUGGUCUGUAACUGACGCUGAUGUGCGAAAGCGUGGGGAUCAAACAGG